rnacentral:rRNA from 1 species
UACGUAGGGUGCAAGCGUUAAUCGGAAUUACUGGGCGUAAAGCGUGCGCAGGCGGCUUUGUAAGUCUGUCGUGAAAGCCCCGGGCUCAACCUGGGAAUUGCGAUGGAGACUGCAAGGCUUGAAUCUGGCAGAGGGGGGUAGAAUUCCACGUGUAGCAGUGAAAUGCGUAGAGAUGUGGAGGAACACCGAUGGCGAAGGCAGCGCCCUGGAUCAAGCU